rnacentral:rRNA from 1 species
CAGUCGCCACGGUAAUGCGUAGGUGGCAAGCGUUGUCCGGAAUUAUUGGGCGUAAAGGGCUCGCAGGCGGUUUCUUAAGUCUGAUGUGAAAGCCCCCGGCUCAACCGGGGAGGGUCAUUGGAAACUGGGAAACUUGAGUGCAGAAGAGGAGAGUGGAAUUCCACGUGUAGCGGUGAAAUGCGUAGAGAUGUGGAGGAACACCAGUGGCGAAGGCGACUCUCUGGUCUGUAACUGUCGCUGAGGAGCGAAAGCGUGGGGAGCGAACAGGAUUAGAUACCCCGGUAGUCCCUGUCUCUUAUAC